rnacentral:lncRNA from 1 species
UCAAGAGUCAACAACGGUACAUUGUGUUUUCUAGGUAAAAAGAUAGCAAGUGCAAGUGCAUUAUUAGCAAAAAGACUCACAACUUAUAAAUGUCAAGGGGAGCAACAUUUCCUCCACCGUUAUGCUCAGCGAGGCAAUGCUGAAAAAUGUGACCAACACUAGUCCAUCCAUAGUAUUGGACGAACUAUCGUGUGGAACGUCAAUGACACAAUUGAAGGUCGCGAUCAAGAUACUGUUUGAAUACUUUCCAACAAGUCACUGCAAUCCAAUUGUCACGAACACUGUCCACACCCAAUGUCUUAAGAUGAAAAACCAUAACGGCCAAAAACAGAGAUAUAAAAUUUCUAGAAAAGCAAUCAAAGUAGUGUUCCCUAAUUUGGCUGUACUAUGGUCUAUGUAGUGGAGGUAGAAUGAAGAUUGCCUAAAAAAGGUUACAUCAAUAGUGAAUAAGGCAAUCGAUAAGGGGAAUGUACAUGCUCUGCGUCUAACAAAACGGGCAAUGAGUGGCACCUACAAUUAAAGAUACGUAAUCAUAAGAUUAAUAUAAAUAUUUGAGAUUUAAUCACUACAAAAAAUGAACUUUAUUAUUACCACAACUUUGACGAGGUUAGAAAAAUAGUGAUAAUAAAAAAACACUCGUAUUGGUUCCUAAAAUUAUACCAAAUACGAUAAAUUAGUUAUUUUUCCUAUUGUUGCAUGCUUUCUUGAACUUCCUUGAUGAAAGUGAUAUGCACAUAAGUCAAUCAUAUUUGAUAUGAUAUAACAUAUACUUUGUAAUCUUACUAAUUUAUUAAUAAAAGAAUUAAUUUAUUUAAGGCAUUUUCUUUAUUCACAUUGUGUUGUUGAUUUAACUCAUAGUUUUGAAUAAUGCUUUUAGAAUCAUGAUGAUGAUCAUGCUAAUGAGAUCUAAAUUCUUAGAUAUCUCAAAAAUUAAAAGUGUUCCUAAUCAUUGGAUUACUAAGAAAGGGAUUAGUGAAUCUGGAUAAAUUAGUACAUAUUAUGCUUGCUCUUAUGAAGAGGAUGAUAGAUCUCAUAAUCAUUUGUAUAGAUACACUAAGACAACUAUGUAGGGACUUAUUAGAGAAUAAGUUCACUGAAUGUGACUCGCUAAAUAAAUACCUAAUGAAGUUUAUUUGUUUGUCAAUAUGAAUUCCUGAUGUGAUAAUAGUACAAUUAAUCCUUGGACUUGAGAUCAUCAAAUAUCUUGUGUAUAAUGAGUUAUGCUUUGACAUGCCCCUUUAAGACCUUUAGGGUAUAUCAAAAUAUAUACUUGGGUAUAAUAAGUUGUAUAGGAGAUAUGUGAAUGAUUAAUAAAGAAUCUACCACUUCUAGUAAAAGGAGAGAAUGUCCUAUUGAUUUGAUAAAUGACAACUCAAUAGUCCUACUUGUCAAGCCCCUGCUCAUACAGGCCAUGCUUCUCGAGCCACUACACUUCCAGGCAUUGCUUACCCAGGUCGUACUCGUUGAGUUAUAAGCCAUGUUCGUCAUGCCAUUAUUUUCCAUCUUUUCGAGCCCCGACUCCAGAAUUAUUGACACUGUUCGUCGUGCCAUUAUUUUUCCAUCUUUUCAAGCCCCGACUACGAGUCCAUGUACCUAUAGUAGUAGUUCUAGUAUAGUACUAGUACUAAUAUUAAUAAGACUAAAAGACAAUUUGCACCCUAAACUUUACAUCCAUGUUGAUUUUUGCACCCCAAACCAAAAAAGGUGUCUAAGUACACUCCAAACUUCAAUUAUACGUAACAAAAUGCAUACUUUCUUCACUUAACCGGUCAAAAGUGACCGGUUAAAGCUGUAAUAUUUAUUACAGAGGGGUAAACUUGGAAAUUUACAUUUAUUUCACACAAUUCUCAUCCUCCUCUUUGUUAAACCCAUAUUCUCCAUCUCUAAAGCUCGCUCUCGAAUUCAUCUCUCCUAUCUCCUCCCCGCCGACCUUUCUCUCUAUCUCAUCCCUCGUCGAUUCUGACCGCCUCGCCCGCUCCCUCCUCUCCUCCUUCCCCGCCUACUCCGCCUACUCCCUUUCUCUCUCCUCCCCCAAUUCCAGCUCCGACGCUGACCCCCUCUGCCACUGGCUCUACAAUAUAUUUCUCUCAUCUGAUCCCGAUCUACGCCUCGUAGUCCUCUCUUUCAUUCCCCUUCUCUCUCACCGGCUUUGAAGUCGUUCUACUAGUUCUCUACGCUGCCGAGACCAAAUCCCGAAACGACAAACCGAUCCUCAUCUCCCUCCCCGAUCUUUCUCCCUUCUCUAUGCCAUAUCCCUCAAACCACUAACCCCAAAUCGAAUCCUAACCCUGGCUCUACUCUGAAAACUGGAAUUCUGAGUCCUCCGUUAGAGCCCCAAAUCACAGUGAAAUCCACCAAACGCGCCUGCAUUGUUGGCGUUGCCUUUGAUUGUUACUAUAAGCAAAUAUCCCAAAUGCCCAGUUGGUCAAAUUGAAUUUUUGUAAAUUUGCAUCCGGUUGGGCAGGCCAAGACUGCCCUUGUAAGUCUGAAUUCGACGAAAUUAACAAUUUUUCUAGUGAGUCACAAAGGGGGUCAUGUAUUCAUACAGCUCAUUCAUCCACCGGAUUUGGGCCUUGCCUUGGUCGGUAUCUUUGCUCGGCCAGCGGAUCAAAUACUGUAUGUUAUACAAUGUGCCAUUUCGGUACGGAAAUGGUAGAGAAGACGGGGAAAGUUCUUCCAUUAUUCCCCCGACGGUUCCAAUAUCAUUAGGGGUGAUCCUUCAAUUUUCAGGAACAACUCUCAAAUGUCUUGAAAUGCAGUUUGGGGAAUAACGGGGCUGGUGACAAAAUCAGACUUACCUUUGUACGGAUUCCUAAACUUGUCCGUCCGGUUGAGUACAUCCUCCAAUGGAUAUUCAUUCCCUUUGAUACCUCCCCAGUAGAAAAUAGAAGAGUUAAUCCAAGGCAUUUCGUAACUGUCCUAUUCCAUCAAACCCAACGCUGAAAAACUCUCAUUCAUAAUGCCCAUCAACUGGGCUUUACUUCCUUAAAAGAUUGAGUUAAAGCCCACUCGGAUGACCCUUUCCUGACCCCGAACCAGCACACUCACCAUAACCCUGAUGACCAAAUUGUUGGGGAGUUUUGGGGCAAUGUUUUGCCAGUGGUAAAUUAGUUCUGUGGCACUUUCGUCCAAAUAUUUAUGGUUUUUGUUUUUUUAUUGAUGUAAUUUUAUAUCUGUUUUCGAUUAAUAUUGUUGACUUUGUAAUUAGGUUUUUGUUUUGUUUUCAAAGCACUUGAGAGCUGAUGAAAUUGGUUUGGUUGUUUAGUGAAGAAACAGGGGAGAGAAUUAGUUGAUGAAAAAGAUGUGGAAAAGACUUUAAUGCCCUUUCAAAUGCACGUGUGUGCCAUAGCCGGUCACUGUUGACCGGUUAAGUGAAGAAAGUACUUGGACACUUUUUUUGGUUUGGGGUGCAAAAGUCAACAUGAGUGUAAAGUUUAGGGUGCAAAUUGUCUUUUAGUCUAUUAAUUGCCCAUAAUUUUGUUCAUAAAAUUUAUCUACUACUACUAAUAUAUAGGGGUGUAAAUGAACCAAGUCAAGUCAAGUCGAGUAUUGAGUUGCUCAAAAAAUGGUACAAAAAAUUUAUCGAGUCUAAAAUAAAAUUUGAUCGAGGCUCGUUUAGGUACCAAGUAGAGCACGAUCUUGAAUUAAACCCGAGCAGGUUAAACUUUUCGAGUGAAUAUGAUCCGAGUAUCAACAAAAAAUUAUAAUUUGAAAAAAUUCGAGUAAUUUAUCGAACUUUAAAAUUUGUUCAUAUUUGAAUCAUUUAUAUUUCGAAUCGAACUUUUAGUCGAGCGGGUACAAAUCAAGCCCAAACCGUUAGGUUCAUUUUACGGCCUUAGUUAUAUAUAUAUAUAUAUAUAUAAUAUAGAUUUUUUUUAAUAAAAAUUCAAAUUAAAUACAUUCAUGUCUUUAUUAGUCAUUCAUUAACACUUCUGUUGUAAUCCCUACAAUUAUAGUCGAACAAUAAUUAUAUUUUCAUUUGCAAAAGAUAAUAGUAAACGAACAAAAAUUUUAAUUUUAAUUUGAAAAAUUAUGAUCUUGUUCGUUUGCCAUCAACUUAUAUUGAUAAAAUUAUGAUUCUUGUUCUACUAAAAUUACAGCGAUUGCAGCUUAAAUGGUGCACAAUGAUCCAAAAGUAUAUAAAUUGUUAUAUAGUACUAAUAUAUGAUGUUAAAUCAAUUUCAUAAACAUACAAAAAUAAUAGUUUGUGGGAAAAAACACGACAUUUAUUAAACAAAAUAAAUACAUAAACUACUAUUAUGAUUAUUAUUUUUUAGAUCUAGAUACACUCGAGCAAUUUUGGCCAUUAUUUACCCCUUCCCAUGUAUAAUCUAUACUACACUAAAAAGACGUAAAAAAUACUCCAAUAAACACUCAAAAAAUUUGCAACUCAUAGGGAGAAAGAAAUAAAUCAUACGUUAAAUUGAACCAAUUUUCCAUUAAAGUACUUGUAUUAGUUCUUCCAAUCACCUGUAUUCGUUUCACAAAAGAGAGUUUUAUUCGAGUUGAUAGAUAUUUUUUUCCAGAGCGAAUAGAUGGAGUAUUAAAGAAAUAGAAUCGUGCUAUAACUUUUUCCUUUGUUUGGGUUAAUUACUUAAUUUACACUAAACCAGAGCAUCUCUCUCCUACUUUGGGUUUCUGUUUAACAAAAACAAAAGAAAUAUGUUGCAUUUCGACUAUCAAACAUAGUUGCUAACACUAACUUUCGCAUUUGGGCGAUCCGCGUUUAGCAUUCCCGAACAAAUUAAAUGUCUCACAAAGUUAAAUCUUUCUCAAGAAAUUGACAAUUCUGUGAUUUGUUUAGUUAAGUUACUUUAAUAGUAUCAUUCCUGUUUUCUGGAUUACGUAUCUCAUGCACCCUCAUUUAGUUCCUUCCACGUUGGUUCUUUUAAGAGAGAGGCCUGGUCAUUAGUUAUUCAUUGGUUGUAUUACGAAACAAGGGCUAUUAAUUCAUCAAUUCCUAUAUAAUUAUAUGUAUUCUAUAAGGCAUGCUUAUCCCAUCUUUCUUAUGCCAAGAAAAAAUUGCACUCACCGACGCUUUUAUAUAAUGAUAUGAAAAGGGUUAGAAUCAUGAUUUUACAAAAGGAGAGAUGAUAGAAGGGUGAAGAAUCUCCCUUUUAAGGCCAAAGAGGAUGGGCAGAGCUUUUUGAAAAAUGAAAAUUGGAGAUCAGAGUACAAACAACUUACUGUAAUGUUACAAGGAAUAAAAUGGUGAAGGACUGAAAUGUAAAUGCCGGAAGUGCUUAGUUUUAGUAAAGAAGUCUCGCUAUAUAAAAUCAAGAAAAGUUUUAUUUCUCUCCUAUGUGGGAUGUGGGUUUAUCCCAAUAACACUAAAACAUAAAUAUUUACCAUCCAACUCAACAUCCAAAAGGAAGGUCCAUACGGAAUUUGUUAACCUCUAAUUUGCCACAAGCUCUUUAUAUUGCUAUGCAUACUACAUAUUUGCAAACUCUUUUUGGGUCUGGAUACCCACGCUUUUAGUAAUUCGGUUAUAUAGUAACAGAAGAGUUGAACAUAAUAGCAUCCUUAGCAAGCCAGUGUGCUUGCUUUAACCAAUCUUACAAAGACACAAUUCGAACAUACAAACUACUAAUAAUUUCCGAAAUUGCAUAUUUAAUUGGAUUGACAGCACAGAACAAAUAAACUAGCUUGAGAAACUUGGCAGAGACUCAAAAGAAUGUGUGCAAGUGAGGAAAAGGCCAGUGAUUCCAAUUGAAGAAAACUUUCACUGCAACUCCAUAUCUGUCAUCAUCUGAGAUUGCCAUCUACUGAGAUGGAGCAACCUUCAAUCGAGACAUUUCUAAAGUUAGCAAAGGUUCUACGGCCUUUUUGACUUAAAACGCAACCUUUAAAUCAAAAUUUUCAACCCUUAUUCCAUUCGUCCAUAAGAACAUUAAGAUUACAAAGGAGAUAACCAGGGUCUGCAUUUGAAUUCCUGAAAAUCAACUCAUUCAUGCAAAGUCGUAGUAGCUAUACUAUACAGACCAAACCAUAAUAAGAUCAUGCUCGGUCUAGCCUCAGUAUCACACACUGAAACAGGCCAAUGUUGGUUCUGUAGUUCCACUCAGCCAAAGGUGAACACGCGCACACAAGACAUGAAUCUUAGUUUGGUAAAGAAAAUAUGAUAUGCACUCAUGCACAUAUACAAUAACACCAACAAUCAAUAAGAAUAAGGAAAAAGAAAAGGAAUUGCCAAACCAAAAUAUACAUGGUGCAAGUAUGAGUGGGGGAAAACAAAUAAGGAAUGUUUGGCAGCAUAAUCGAACCAUAUUUCAGAAAAAGCAAGAGUGAAACCUACAUAGCAGAAAGAACAAGGAACCAAAAAGUAUCACCUAGAAAUUAGCUUUUCCAUAUGAAACGACAAUUAAAAACAGAAUAUUUAUACAUUUGUUCCGCCAAAUGAGAACAGAUUCACUCUUGGACCCUUUUAUAGGACCUAUAGCUUCAAAACUAAUAAUGGUGGUAGUCAUAAUUGUUUGUACCUAGAGCUGGCAAUUAAACCCAUCCCAUAAACCAGUCCAUUAAACCCGUAGAUUAAUGAGUUAAAUUAUCCAUUUACUUAGAUAGUAUCUAAGUAGGUUGGGUUAAAUCGAUAAUGAUAAAUUAAGUGGAUUAAAUGAUUAAUAUCCACUAACCCGCCUAAGAAAAUUCCGACUGGUACUCUCCCACUCGACUCCUCAGUAGCUCCGUCCAUUAUGAAGGGUCACCGCCCUCCGACGUAGACAAUGAAGGCUCUUGUUCGAUUUCAGCAUUAAUUGGACCUCCUAAUCCCAAAUCAAUCAACUGUUGUCUAACUACUUGGUCAACCUUAUUAUUAGUAGCAUAAUCACCGGCUUGUUCUAAUUCAUCAACGGCCACUUUCUGAUUAUGUUGCUGCAUAAGUGUAACUAAAUGCAUCUGGAGUGUAGUAAUUGUUACUCACCUGAUUUAGUAAGUCUCUAAUAUACUAAUUUUCCAAUUUCAUACGUUCCAAUUCAGAUCGAAGAACUGCUAGCUACAGCAUAAAAAAUAAUUAAAACUCAAUGUUACUCAUAAGGUAAGUAAACAUUUGUAUUAAUGUUCUGUCAAAUUCUAUAUACCUUGCGUUUAACUCUUCUCUCUUUGUAGUUGGGAGAAAUUCUAUCAUCCAUUCCCUGCCCAGAUCCAACACAGUUGUCCCAAAAAGGAGGUCAAAAAAGGUUUUUUGUUGUAUGGAGAAAAAUUGAAAAACUAACUUUAGAGUUCUAUACGGGUUGAUGGAUUCACCCCAUAUCCAUUUAUAACCCAUUUAAAAUUAUCCAUUUAUGACCCAACCUUUUAAUAACCCAUUAUCCAUUUGCCACCUCUAUUUGUACCAAACCAGUUUUCGAAAUUGGUUGUGAACCUCUAGCCGCAGGGGAAACAAGAUAUUUAAAAGAAUAGAUGGCAUUUUUGUUAUGUUCAGAAAAGUAAAAGUGAUGGAUUAUCACUACUUUUUCGGGGGAAAAAACAAUCAAAAUUUAAAUGCUAGCUUUGAAGCUAUAAAAACAAACGUGAAAUUAAAAUAAAUAAAUUAAACUUCCAACCUUUCCGGAGCUUGCAAAACCAAUGAAUUGGUUAGGCAUUCCCGGACUCGGCUCCUGUUCAUCCACACUAGCAGUAGCAUUCACAGGAGGAGGAGGUGGGUGUGUAUACGCCCAUAUAUAGAUGUGAUCAAGAGCCUAGCUCGAAGCGUGAUCAAACAAGUAAUAGUAUACGCAAAAAUGGGUGUAGGGUGAGAAAGUCGUGAAGAAGGGUACUGAAGAUUUGACUUGAUAAAGAGCUGAGCACUAAAGAGGGACAAACAUAACAUCAAAUCAAACAAUUUUCUCGUGAUAGUCAAAUCAAAUAAUUGAUUUGAUAUUAAUCUAAUUCAAAGAAAAACAUAGCCUUAAAAUUCUUGCACAAAAAUACUUUAAUAAAAAUAAAAAGUUCAAUUCUUGCCUGAUGAAGAAUAAGCAAAGAUGAGUGGGUGUGGAACGAGAGUGUACUGAAUUGCGUCACGCUGUUGCCGCUUCUCCUUCCUAUAUCAAUGAAAAGACUGUGAAAGAAAAAUAGGGCAGAGAGAGAACGAGACAUAAUCUUAAUUACCGAUUGCAAGUGAAGAAUUAGCUAGUGCUUUGCCCUUUUUUGCAAAUUUUUUUUGGUGGAAUUAAGAAAUUGAGGGUAGAUCACAAUUACCUUGCUACAAAUAGGCACUGAGCUGGUAGAUCGACAGUGGCACAAAGGGGAGAGAGGACUGACUUGAUUUGAUGCCCAACAACAAUUAUGUGGAAACAAGUAUGUCUGUCCCUCUUUACUGCUCAACUCUUCAUCAAAUCAAAUCUUCAGUACCCUUUUAUGCUCAAAUCACGACUUUCUCGCUCUAUACACAUUUUUGCAUAUACUAUUAUUUAUUUAAUUUUUGAAGGACCAGGCUUCGAGUUAGAAUUUUGAUGACAGCUAUAUAGGGGCGAAUAAACCUAGGGUGUAAACCGAUAUAUAUAGAUACGGCCAUAUUCGUAUCCGAUAUUUGAAAUAAUAUCCAUUUUCG